rnacentral:rRNA from 1 species
UACGGAGGGGGCGAGCGUUAUUCACCUUAACUGGGCGUAAAGGGUAUGUAGGUUGUUUUUUUACAUUUGAAACAAGUAAUCUUAGCUUAACUUUUGAAGUUGUUUUCAAAAUAUGUUAAAACUAGAGGAUAUAUGAAGUAAGUUACAUUUUUAAUGUAAAGGUGAAAUUUUAAAGAUAUUAAAGAGAUAUCCGUAUGGCGAAAGCUACUUACUAGUAUUUACCUGACACUGAGGUACAAAAGCAUGGGGAUCAAACAGG